UUUAAAAUUUAAAGUCUGACCUGCUCAAUGAAAUUUAAAUAGCCGCAGUAUUUUGGCUGUGCAAAGGUAGCAUAAUCAUUAUUUUUAAUUAGAAACUGUAUGAAUGGUUGGAUGAGAAAUAAUCUGUCUCUGUACAAUUUAAUUAGAACUUUAUUUUUAAGUUAAAAAGCUUAAAUUUUUAUUAAAGACGAGAAGACCCUAUAGAGUUUGAUUUUUUUAAUUAGUUGAUUUUUUAAGUAUUUAUUUUUCAAUUAUUUGAGUAAAUUUUGUUGGGGUGACAGGAAAAAUUAUUUAACUUUUCUUUUUUUUUACAUUGAUGUAUGGUUUGUUGAUCCAAUAUUUUUGAUUAUAAGUUUAAAUUACCUUAGGGAUAACAGCGUAAUUUUUUUUGAGAGUUCUUAUCGAAAAAAAAGUUUGCGACCUCGAUGUUGGAUUAAAAUUUAAGGUUGGCGUAGAAGUUAAUCUUUUAAGUCUGUUCGACUUUUAAAAUUUUAC
rnacentral:rRNA from 1 species